UGCACAGUGGUGCCAGUUGGUAGCACUGUUGCCUUGCAGCAAGGAAGUCCUGGGUUGUGGGUUCAAAUCCCGGUCUGGGAGUUUGCAU